CUUAAAUGAAUUGACGGGGACCCGCACAAGCAGCGGAGCGUGUGGUUUAAUUCGUUGCUACACGAAGAACCUUACCUGGGUUUGACAUAUAGGUUGUAGGGAACUGAAAGGGGACCGACCCUUCGGGAGCCUAUACAGGUGUUGCAUGGCUGUCGUCAGCUCGUGUCGUGAGAUGUUCGGUUAAGUCCGCUAACGAGCGCAACCCUCGUCGUAUGUUAUAUGUGUCAUACGAGACUGCCGGUAAAAAGCCGGAGGAAGGUGAGGAUGAUGUCAAGUCAGCAUGACCUUUAUAUCCAGGGCUACACACACGCUACAAUGGUCUGUACAAUGGGUAGCCAAGCCGCGAGGCGGAGCCAAUCCUGAAAGCAGGCCUCAGUUCAGAUUGCAGUCUGCAACUCGACUGCAUGAAGCCGGAGUUGCUAGUAACCGCAGGUCAGCAAUACUGCGGUGAAUACGUUCCCGGGUCUU
rnacentral:rRNA from 1 species